AGAGAAUCUUCAAACACUACCAAGAACAAAGCCUCAAAACCAAACACAGCCUACAAGGAUGGAAUCACCACGUCGGGGCGACGCUAGGGAAGGAUGUCCAGCCGUCGAAAGUUUUUGGAAAACACCACACGCGAAGACACGCGCCGACGCCUGGAACAGGAAUCAGAACAAAGAAGUGGCGCGUGGACGCCACUCUCUCCAAGUCCGGCCACCGAACUUUCAGGGAUGGCCGAUCGGCACUUGGGUUUCCUUCUAAGACUGGCUGUGAGGU
rnacentral:misc_RNA from 1 species